rnacentral:tRNA from 6 species
GCUCCUUUAACUCAAUCGGCAGAGUAACCGGCUUUUAACCGGUAGGUUGUGGGUUCAAAUCCCAUGAGGAGCA